AGGUCAGGGAGGUCACAGACUGGGAGGUGAAGAGACCAGAAGCCUGACAGCGAUGGAGAAGUGGCCAAGAAGUCGAAUAGCUCACAACAGGGAAUGAGGGUGGCCUUCUAGUUCCUAAAAGUGGCCCUGGCCCACAGCUGCCUAGAAAAGAGACCUCAGUCCACAACUUCAAACAGCAGAUUCCUACAUAGCCACCUGGGCUAGUACCUCGAUCCGGAAGGAAGCCACCCAGGCAGUUUGGUUUUAGCCUUUGUUGACAAGAGCACAAAGCACAAAACAGUGUCCCUACUGUGAGAGGAAAAUGCAUGGUUCAUCUGAAGACCCUAAGCAAUUCCUUAAGCGGUGGCAAGAAUGCAUACCUACCCUAUGCUGUGUGACUUGUGAGAAUAUUCUGCUAGAAGAAGCAUACACCCUAUGCACACUGCAUGCCCUCAUUUUGGCCAAUGACACACCUGCAUUGCCACCUGCCAACUGAAAACAACUUUUUAAAAUUGCAUUUGUACUGAACAAGUCUAGGCUUCUUUUUUUGUUUAUUUUUUGUUUGUUUGUCUUUUGUUUUUUGUUUUUUGUUUUUUUUUUUUCAAGACAGGGUUUCUCUGUAUAGCCCUGGCUGUCCUGGAACUCACUUUAUAGACCAGGCUGGCUUCGAACUCAGAAAUCCACCUGUCUCUGCCUCCUGAGUGCUGCCACCACACCUGGCUUUCAUCUAGGCUUUCUUAUCAUUACUCCUAAGCAAAACAGCACACCUGAUCAUUACUCAACACUCCCUUGCCCUAGGUGUAAAAAAUCACCUAGAAGCAACACCAAGGACACAACCUUGCCAUCCUUAAAUGGACUUUUUUGUUUGUUUCAUUUUGCUUUUUUUUUUUUUUUUUGAGACAAGGUUUCUCUGUGUAGCCCUGGCUGUCCUGGAACUCAAUUUGUAGACUAGGCUGGCCUCAAACUCAAUUAGAUCCACUGCCUCUGCCUCCCAAGUGCUGGGAUUAAAGGAGUGUGCCAUCAGGCCUGGCCACCUCGGACCUUUUAAUCUACAAGGGGCCCUGAUACAAGUGCCCCAAUAGAGACAGAGGAUGAUUUAUGACUUGAUUCAGGGAAAAGCUAAAAUCAGGAAAGCCCUUUCCACAGUUGCCGUGACCACAGAGUCCAUGUACCUUUGCAAUUAGGUGGGACCCUAGCCCAGCGAG
rnacentral:lncRNA from 1 species